GACGAACGCUGGCGGCGUGCCUAAUACAUGCAAGUCGAACGCAGUGGGGACGGGUGAGUAACACGUGGGUAACCUCCCAUCAGAGGGGAUAACACUUGGAAACAGGUGCUAAACCGCUACUGAUGGAUGUACCCGCGGUGCAUUAGCUAGUUGGUGGGGUAACGGCUCACCAAGGCCACGAUGCAUAGCCGACCUGAGAGGGUGAUCGGCCACACUGGGACUGAGACACGGCCCAGACUCCUACGGGAGGCAGCAGUAGGGAAUCUUCGGCAAUGGACGCAAGCCUGACCGAGCAAUGCCGCGUGAGUGAAGAAGGUCUUCGGAUCGUAAAACUCUGUUGGUAGAGAAGCGGUACCUAACCAGAAAGCCACGGCUAACUACGUGCCAGCAGCCGCGGUAAUAC
rnacentral:rRNA from 1 species